rnacentral:rRNA from 1 species
AUGGCCAGAGUGUCCGGCAGCGGCAGGAUGAAAGCACGGAGGCCUAUGGCUGGUCACGGUCAGCUGCAAGAAGCAGGGCACGACAAAGGGCCUGAACCCGCCGGAGUCGGGACGAAGGCGAGCUCCGGCGACGGGACUUGGCGGCGGGGCUGUCUAGAACUGCUGGUGGUGGCGCCCGGCGUCCCUGGUGAAGCGGCGGCCGUGGACUUGUCUGAAGAGGACGGCUCGGGCAGGAGGCGCGAGCACAGGGACUUGGCUGGCGGGGCUCCUCAACGCAGGAAGCAGUGGGCGAUGGCGCUAGUCGCAGAGCAAGGCAAGGGCGAAGGAGCAGGAGAUAGCACGCAAGCGAACUUGAUGAUGAGAGCCCUGGUCGCGGGCGCGCGAGGAAGAUAA